rnacentral:rRNA from 1 species
UACGGAGGGAGCUAGCGUUAUUCGGAAUUACUGGGCGUAAAGCGCACGUAGGCGGCUUUGUAAGUAAGAGGUGAAAGCCUGGAGCUCAACUCCAGAACUGCCUUUUAGACUGCAUCGCUUGAAUCCAGGAGAGGUGAGUGGAAUUCCGAGUGUAGAGGUGAAAUUCGUAGAUAUUCGGAAGAACACCAGUGGCGAAGGUGGCUCACUGGACUGGUAUUGACGCUGAGGUGCGAAAGCGUGGGGAGCGAACAGG